GAUCACGAAAUUGCUGAGUCUAAAGGCUGAUCAACAGAAUAUGGUUUUGCAAGUUAUAUAACACAAGAAUUUCGGCACAAUUUUAUUGUUUCGUUAAUUCGAUGUGGCGACGUCCAGUUUAAACAGACAACUCAGCCUAAGAAGCAUAUAAAUAAUGGUCCAUAUUUAUUGCUCACUAUUGUUUUUCUAUAGGUUUGGCAGGUAUGUAUAAAGAAGUCGUGUUCUGACAUGUCUUCAACUUUAGUAAACUUUCUGAUACAUGAUCAUCCGAGAACCAGAUGACACAAGUUAAACAGACGGCAACAUCGUUUGGUAGCAAGCAUUAUUAGCGUGAAGCCAGACAAUUCUAAUGCUAAAAAUUCGGCACAAAAAAUGACUGGCGCUCUCACAGAGAACGAUGCUAUGGCAUUUUCGUCGCGUGUCAAAAUUGAAGUACAACAAAAGAGUUGCUUAGAUGGCUGGAGGAAAAGAUGAAAAAUAAUCCUGCGAAAAUUCAUGAUGAACUGUGAUGGUUGUAUAUAUAACAAGUCCAUUAAAGACUCGUUGAUGGGAAUCAAAGAAAUUUUGAGAAGUAAAUAUUAAGAAAAAUGUUCGUUGUUCGAAGGAUUUUGGUGGGUUUUUUGGGGGUGUAAUAUAUUAUUUGAUAACUAGCUAUAUACGUAUAAGAUAAUACGAUCUUAACGACCUCCCUAUGCUAAUGGUCGUAUACUGCAACGGUUGCUUGAGCAUACGACUCCUCAAAAUGAUGAUUUUACUCAAGAUUUGAAGCUGAAAAAAAACAAAUCUUCUGAAUUAAUAACAUUGUGCAAAAUGUCUAUUUCUCAGCUAGCUGUCAGAUGCGUAUGGUGAGAUGCCAAAAGAUAAGUUGCAUAAUGCGUAUUCAAAUAUAUGCAGAAGAAAUUUUUUUAAAGACCAAGUUUCUGCGGUGUUUCGGAGGGGGAUCGUUAAGACCAUACUGAUUCUACUUAAAACUGAAGAAAAUGACAUACAGUUCUAAUAUUACUAUGUUCAAGAAAAGCGCAUGAGCUAAAACAGAUGAAAGACGAUCGACGCAAAGCAAAAAAUUGAAUUUUAACCAAUUUAAUUUAAACCAAUUUCAUAUAUGAAUGCAAUGUAGCUCUUAAAAUACGUACUUUAUGGGCAGUUAAAUCGUAGUUUGCUUAAGAAAAAAAGAUUCUGUUCCGUGAAUUUUGUCGUUUUUAUGUAACUGGCGCAGAUACGCAUGU